rnacentral:rRNA from 1 species
UACGUAGGGUGCGAGCGUUGUCCGGAAUUAUUGGGCGUAAAGAGCUCGUAGGCGGUCUGUCGCGUCGAUCGUGAAAACUUGGGGCUUAACCCUGAGCUUGCGGUCGAUACGGGCAUGACUGGAGUUCGGCAGGGGAGACUGGAAUUCCUGGUGUAGCGGUGAAAUGCGCAGAUACCAGGAGGAACACCGGUGGCGAAGGCGGGUCUCUGGGCCGAUACUGACGCUGAGGAGCGAAAGCGUGGGGAGCGAACAGG